rnacentral:rRNA from 1 species
CCUACGGGUGGCAGCAGUCGAGAAUCAUUCACAAUGGGCGAAAGCCUGAUGGUGUGACGCCGCGUGGAGGAUGACGGUCUUCGGAUUGUAAACUCCUGUCAUGUGGGAGUGAGUACCACAAGAGGAAGAGACGGCUAACUCUGUGCCAGCAGCCGCGGUAAUACAGAGGUCUCAAGCGUUGUUCGGAAUCACUGGGCGUAAAGGGUGCGUAGGCGGCGCGGAAAGUCAGGGGUGAAAUCCCGGAGCUCAACUCCGGAACUGCCUUUGAUACUCCCGUGCUAGAGAGCUGGAGGGGACAUCGGAAUUCACGGUGGAGCAGUGAAAUGCGUGGAUAUCGUGAGGAACACUAGUGGCGAAGGCGGAUGUCUGGACGUUCUGACGCUGAGGCACGAAGGCCAGGGGAGCGAACGGGAUUAGAUACCCUUGUAGUC